rnacentral:lncRNA from 1 species
CUGCCCUGUGGCAUAUGGGAGUUCCUGGGCCAAGGAUCAGAUCCGAGCCACAGUUACCCCCUAAGCCACAAGUGCAGCAACGCCAGAUCUUUAAUCCACCGUGCUGGGCACUGAACCUGUGCCCCAGCACUCCCAAGAUGUCGCUGAUCCCACUGCACCAACAGUGGGAAAUUCUCUUAAUUUUUAUUUAUUUAUUUUUGGCUUUAGCCCUGGCAUGCAGAAGUUCCCAGCCCAGGGCUCAAACCUGCACCACAGGAGAGUGACAACAUCAGAUCCUUAACUGCUAGGCCACCAGGGAACUCCUGUCUUUUUACUUCCAUGGCAUUGUCCUUUAAAGCAGCAAAGUUCUUAAUCUCAAGGAAGUCCAAUUUAUCUAUUUUUUUCCUUGAUUGUUUAACCUUCAGUAUCAUAUCUGAAAGAGACUACUGCCUAAUUCAAAGUCAUGAAGACCUGCAACUAUGUUUUCUUUUUUGUGUCUUUUUAGGGCCACACCUGCAGCAUAUCAAAGUUCCCAGGUUAGAAGGUUGAAUAGGAGCUGCAGCUGCCAGCCUAUGCUACAGCCAGAUCUGAGUCACAUGUGUAACCUACACUAGAGCUCACGGCAACACUGGAUCCUUAACCCACUGAACGACGCUGGGGAGCAAACCCACGUGCUCAUGGAUACUAGGCAGAUUUACCAUUGAGCCACAACAAGAACUCCCCAGCUAUGUUUUCUAAGAAUUUUUAGUUUUAGCUCUUAAGUUUGGGUCUUUGAUCCACUGCAUAUUAAUUUUUCUACAUAGUAUCAAGAAUGGGUUCAAUUUCAUUGUUUUGUGUAUGGAUAUCCUGUUGUCCCAGUACCACUUGUUAAGAAAAAAUUUGUUCCCCAUUGAAAGAUUUUUCUUAAACUAAUAAGCAUGUACUACUUCUAUAAUUAAAAAUACUAUGCUUUAAUACACAAACAUUCUAUAUAUUUAUUAAAAUCAUCGUAGUAUAAAAAGAUUAAACAAAAUUAAAUAACAUGCCUAGGAUUAAGUUACCAGCAAGAGAAACCAGUACCAAACCAGUACCUCUCCAUGUG